rnacentral:lncRNA from 1 species
UGCUGGCAGUACAAAGUGUGAAUAAACAUUGCCAUGCUUUAUUGCUGUAAAUCUGCUGCUAAAUCUCUUGUUUCUCUUUGAGUUAGCAGCCCAAUAAACAACUCCUGCAAUGUUCCAAUAACUGCUUUGUCAUUUCAGAUACUCUGAAUGAUUCAUAGAGUCUUCCUGCCGAUUCCAACCACAGAAGUACUUUCUGUCUAAAGCAUUAAGCCUGAAAAUCCAUAACUCACAGGGUCCUCGGAACAAUUGGGAAAAUAAGAGGCACUGAAAGUGAUACCUGGAGCUGGAAGUGGCCACAACGAGACUUGGAAAGCAGCAUCUUUCUACUUGAUGAGCAGAAACACAGUGCUUACUGCGAGUCUCCUUUCUGCCUCGGUUUAUUGCAACAUCUAUUUUGUGGCUGUGGACUUUUCUCUUCUUGGAACUCCUCCUGGACAGUGAGACUUUCGAUUCAGGACUGGGCACCAGAAGACUUUGCCGGUGGUCCAUGGCUGACUCUGCGCUCCCAGUGCUGGGGCCCAGCGUUGAUCACUUGUCAGGAAACUUGUCAGCUGGAUCAGCUGUGGUCAUGAUCCAGGAUGCCACAGCUAAGACCCAAUGCAGCCAAAUAAAUAAAUAAACUUUUUUUAAAAAAGGAAAUCAUAGAAAAAUGC